rnacentral:lncRNA from 1 species
GGCAUCUAUGAAGUUAUGUCUGAGUCUAUCAAGAUAAUAUCCCAGACAGACCCCACUCGAGUGGCUACCCUCAUAGUGUUAUGGCCUUGUAAACUAGUAAUAGCAUGUAAGAAGAUAAUGGGAGACUUAGGUGGGCUCUUAUUACAGGAAGCCUCUUCCAAUUGGUUAGAGCACUCCUGAAGGUCCUUCACCUCACUAUCAGACAUAGGCUCAAGCAAAAAUUGAUACAUUUGAGACUUAACACACUUGUUUCCCACAUGGUACUUAGCUUCAUACCAAAAGUAAAGACCCUUUUAUUUACGUUCAGCCAUCACAGUAGGUGAGAUGGUCUUGGAGGUUGACUUACUAGCAGGAACACUAGACAUAGAUGGCAUCUGAGAAGUAGGAACAGAUCUCAUAGGUGCUGAGGAAUGGCUCGAUACAACAGAGGGAUUGAAAAAGGAUCUAGGUAAGCUGUUAGAGGAACCAAGGUCCUCUUGGGAGAAUGUGAAAGAAUUCCCUCAACUUUCCUAGCCAAUGAGAACCCUACUAUCAAAGAUGAUGGUUGAAAAAAUUUGAGGUAUUGGCCAAUCUCAAGCUUCAAGUUACUCAUAAAAAUACUAAGAGCAUACAGUUCAGAAAGAUGCAAUUGGUUAAUUAAGCUAACAAAAAAAUCGUGAUACUGUUCAACCAUACCUUACUACUUCAAACUAACCAAUUCAUUUAUAAGAUCACAAAAGAAACUGGAUCCAAACUACUCAUGUAAGCUUCGAGCAUAGACUGGCCAAGUUAACAUAUGUAGGCCACCAUUCCUUUGGGAGUAGAAAUUGUGCUAGUCCAGAGGUCGAACCUUCAAAUUCAACAUCACUGUACGAACCUUGGUUGUCUCAGGGAUUCCCUUAGCUUCAAAGAAUUGUUCCAACUUAGCCCACCAUCCUCUGAAAUCAGUGCCAUUGAAUUUUGGGCACUCGAGCCUAGUAGGUCUGCUAGAUCCAUCAACCACAGGGGAAUGAUUUUGCAAAUGAAUACUACUCAUAUCAGCAAGUGGACGAGUAAUUACCCCAGCUAGAACUUGACCAGGGAUUGGAGCAACAAAAUCUUUAGGAGUAAAGCAUGGAGGUGCUCCCCUCAUAACUCCUUUCCUCUUGCCAGUAACUCUAAAUUAAGUGGCCCAAAAUAUUUUCCAAGCAAAUUUUGAAGAUCCCCUUUAAACUCAUAUUUGGACUCUUGAAACUUGGUGUCUAUCUUAGUGUCAAAUUGAACCAACUCCUCUUGGAUCUUAGAGAUCUCCUGCUACAUCACACUGACCUUUUUUUGCAAAUGGGUGGAUACGCCAUCACCAGCCAUGGAUGGGAUCGUAAAAGCUCUGAUACAUUUGAUACGACCUAGAAAACUGAAGGAAAAUAACAGAAAAGAGCAUAAGGAAAUAAGAAGAAAAGAAGAGAAGAAAACUUUUACUGAAAUUUUCUUUGUUCACAUAUCUGAUAACCACCCACCCCUUACAGCUAAAGCUUAAAAAGAAAGAGAAAAAAGUCGUGGAAAAAGUUAGUUACAAUUGCUAGCUAAGUUCGUUAUCAC